CCUACGGGAGGCAGCAGUGGGGAAUAUUGCACAAUGGGGGAAACCCUGAUGCAGCGACGCCGCGUGAGUGAAGAAGUAAUUCGUUAUGUAAAGCUCUAUCAGCAGGGAAGAAAAUGAUGGUACCUGAGUAAGAAGCCGCGGCUAACUACGUGCCAGCAGCCGCGGUAAUACGUAGGGGGCAAGCGUUAUCCGGAUUUACUGGGUGGAAAGGGAGUGUAGGCUGGGAGGUAAGUCAGCGGUGGAAUGCCACCGCUCAACGGGGUGCAGUGCCAUUGAUACUGCCUUGCUGGAAUGCGGAUGCCGUGGGAGGAAUGUGUGGUGUAGCGGUGAAAUGCAUAGAUAUCACACAGAACACCGAUUGCGAAGGCAUCUCACGAAUCCGCGAUUGACGCUGAGGCACGAAAGCGUGGGUAUCAAACAGGAUUAGAUACCCCAGUAGUC
rnacentral:rRNA from 1 species